UGCUGGGAUUAUAGGCGUGAGCCACUGCUGGUUGGCAUCUUUUUCAAAUAGAGGGCUGUUUCAUCUACACUGAAAAUCUGUCGUUUAGUAUAGCCAGUUUCAUUAAUUAUCAUAGCUAGAUCUUCUGGAUAACUUGCUCCAGCUUCUCCAUCAGCACUUGCUGCUUCACCUUGCAUUUUUAUGUUUUGGAGACAGGUUCUUUCCUUGAACGUCACAGACCAAUUUCUACUACCUUCCAACUUUUCUUCUGCAGCUUCCUGACCUCUCUCAGUCUUCAUAGAACUGAACAGAUUUAGGGCCUUGCUCUAGGUCAGGCCUUGGAUUAAGGGAAUGUUGUGGCUGGUUUGAUCUUCUAUCAAGACCACUAAAACUUUCUCCAUAUCAACAGCAGUAAGGCUGUUUUGCUCGCCUUAUCAUUUAUGUGUUCACUGGAGCAGCACUUUUAAUUUCCUUCAAGAAUAUUUCCUUCACAUUUACAAAUUGUCAACUGUUUGGUGCAAGAGGCUUAGCUUUCAUCCUGUCUUGGCUUUGGAUAUUCUCUUCUCAUUAAGGUUGGCUAAUAUCAACUGAUUUCAAUGUGGUGUGUUUCAGGGAAUAGGGAGGCCCAAGGAAAGGGAGAGAGAUGAGAAAUGGCCAGUUGGAGAAGCAGUCAGAACACAUAGCACAUAGCACAUCGAUAGAUUAAGUUUACCAUCUUAUAUGGGUGUGUUUCAUGGUGCCUCAAAACAAUGACAACAGUAACAUCAAAGAUCAUUGAUCACAGAUUACCUUAACAGACAUAACAAUGAAAAAGUUUAAAAUAUUAUGAGAAUUACCCAAAUGUGACAUACAGGCAUGAAAUGAGCACAGGCUGUUGGAAAAAAAUGGUGCUGAAAGAUUUGCUUGACAUAGGAUUGCCACAAACCUUCAAUAUGUAAAAACAGAAAACAAAACAAAACAAAAAAACACAGUGUCUGUGAAGUGCAAUAAAGUGAAGCACAGUAAGAUGAGGUAUGCCUGCACUGUAUUCACAGGCAGGGUCAUUAAAGAGACAACGAAGUUCAAAUAAGGUCAUUAAGAUGGGCCUUAAUCCAAUUGACUGGUGUCCCAAUCAGAAAAGGGGAUUGGGACACAGACAUGGACAAAAGGAAGACCAUGUGAAGACACCCAGGGAGAAUAUGGCCAUCUACACGCCAAGGAGAGAGGUGGCAGAAGAAACCAGCUCUGACGACACUGUGAUCUGGAACGUGUAACCUCUGAAACGGGCCAGUGCAUAUGAGUGGACAACACUUAGUAGCUGUGGAGGAAGCUGCAGAGUCAGAAGACAAAGAGGAGGAGGAUGGGAAACUCUUAAGUAUAUCUGGAAAUCGAUCUGCCCUGCAGGUGGUAGCAAGUUUCCACAGAAAAAAGUAAAACGUGCUGCUGACAAAGAUGAUGAUGAUGAAGAAGGUGAUAAUGAUGAUGAUUUUGCUGAAGAGGAAACUGAAGAAAAAUCUUCAGUGAAGAAAUCUACAGGAGGUAUUUCAACCCAAAAUGCAAAACAACAAAACCAGAAUGGAAAAGACUCAAAACCAUCAACAUGAGAUUAAAAGGUCAAGAAUCCUUCAAAGCACAAGAAAAAACUUUUAAAACACCAAAAGGACUUAGUUCU